rnacentral:rRNA from 1 species
CCGAAAGGCGUAGGUGAUGGACAACAGGUUGAUAUUCCUGUACUACCGAUAACCGUUUGAGAGAAGGGAUGACACAGUAGGAUAAGCUAAGCACACUGUUGGUUAUGUGUGCCCAAGCAUUGAGGCAGUCAAAGUAGGCAAAUCCGCUUUGAUAAUGCUGGGAUGUGAUGGGGAGCGAAAUUUAGUAGCGAAGUAGCUGAUUUCACACUGUCAAGAAAAGUCUCUAUCGAGGUUAAAGGUACCCGUACCGCAAACCGACACAGGUGGGUGAGGAGAGUAUCCUAAGGCCAGCGAGAGAACUGUUGUUAAGGAACUCGGCAAAAUGACCCCGUAACUUAGGGAUAAGGGGUGCCACCAUCAGGUGGCCGCAGAGAAUAGGCCCAAGCGACUGUUUACCAAAAACAUAGGUUUCUGCUAAGUCGCAAGACGAUGUAUAGGAGCUGACGCCUGCCCGGUGCUGGAAGGUUAAGGGGAUCUGUUAGAGCAAUCGAAGCAGUGAACUUAAGCCCCAGUAAACGGCGGCCGUAACUAUAACGGUCCUAAGGUAGCGAAAUUCCUUGUCGGGUAAGUUCCGACCCGCACGAAAGGCGUAACGAUUUGGGCACUGUCUCAACAACAGACUCGGUGAAAUUGUAAUUCCGGUGAAGAUGCCGGAUACCUGCGACAGGACGGAAAGACCCCAUGGAGCUUUACUGUAGCUUGACAUUGGGUCUUGGUACUACAUGUACAGGAUAGGUGGGAGGCUUUGAAACCAGGACGCCAGUUUUGGCGGAGCCAUCCUUGGGAUACCACCCUUGUAGUACUGGGACUCUAACCAUAGGCCAUGAAUCUGGUCUUGGGACACUGUCAGGUGGGCAGUUUGACUGGGGCGGUCGCCUCCCAAAAGGUAACGGAGGCGCUCAAAGGUUCUCUCAGUACGGUCGGAAAUCGUACGUAGAGUGUAAAGGCAAAAGAGAGCUUGAUUGCAAGACAUACAGGUCGAGCAAGGAUGAAAAUCGGACUUAGUGAUCCGGUGGUUCUGCGUGGAAGGGCCAUCGCUCAACGGAUAAAAGCUACCCUGGGGAUAACAGGCUUAUCUCCCCCAAGAGUCCACAUCGACGGGGAGGUUUGGCACCUCGAUGUCGGCUCAUCACAUCCUGGGGCUGUAGUAGGUCCCAAGGGUUGGGCUGUUCGCCCAUUAAAGUGGUACGCGAGCUGGGUUCAGAACGUCGUGAGACAGUUCGGUCCCUAUCCGUCGCAGGCGUAGGAAAUUUGAGAAGACCUGUCCUUAGUACGAGAGGACCGGGAUGGACGUACCUCUGGUGUACCAGUUGUCCUGCCAAGGGCAUGGCUGGGUAGCUAUGUACGGAAUGGAUAAGCGCUGAAAGCAUCUAAGCGCGAAGCCAACUUCAAGAUAAGAUUUCCCACCGCAAGGGUAAGACCCCAGAAAGACUAUCUGGUUGAUAGGUCGAAGGUGUAAGUGUAGCAAUGUAUUUAGCUUAUCGAUACUAAUAGGUCGAGGACUUGACC